AGCCGCGGUAAUUCCAGCUCCAUUGGCGUAUAUUAAAGUUGUUGCGGUUAAAAAGCUCGUAGUUGGAUCUGUGUAUCGGACGGUCGGUUCGCCGCUCGCGUGGUUUGACUGACCGGUUCGGACGUCAUGCCGGUGGGACCUCGGCGCACGGUGUGCCGUAACUUACCCUCCGCGCUGCUCUUAACCGAGUGGAUCGGUGGGCCGGCACGUUUACUUUGAACAAAUUUGAGUGCUCAAAGCAGGCCUUACGUUGCCUGGAAACUGUGUGCAUGGAAUAAUGAAAGAGGACCUUGGUUCUAUUUUGUUGGCUUUCUGAACUCGAGGUAAUGAUUAACAGGGACAGACGGGGGCAUUCGUAUUGCGACGUUAGAGGUGAAAUUCUUGGAUCGUCGCAAGACGGACCGAUGCGAAAGCGUUUGCCAAGAAUGUUUUCGCUAAUCAAGAACGAAAGUUAGAGGUUCGAAGGCGAUUAGAUACCGCCCUAGUUCUAACCAUAAACGAUGUCAGCCAGCGAUGCGCCGAUGUUCCUCCGAUGACACGGCGCGCAACUUCCGGGAAACCAAAGCUUUUGGGUUCCGGGGGAA
rnacentral:rRNA from 1 species